CGGAGCUUGACGAAGCCUUCCUGGUUAAGCUUGAUUCUGUCACGAGAGGGCGACUUGGUGACAAUGCUAAGGUCAUCUUCUUCUCUAACCGUUCUUGCAAAUGAUGACCCGUAUGGAGUGUUUAGCAUUGACCAAACUGCUAGACCUAUACUGGUGGAGGAAGCCAGUAAAGAUGUUGAGAUGAAAGUGUUACGACAUGGCGGUGACAUGGGUAUGGUGAUGGUCAACUACACCACUCUGAGCCUACAGAUUUCUUCCCCAUAUUUACCACUAGUUGUUUGGAAGAGCAGGAGAACUGGAUUUUAUGCCCGCUAAAAGGCACAGUGGUAUUUCAGCCCAACCAGACGAAUGCUACAUUUCGGAUUAACCAUUUUGGACGAUAACAUU